rnacentral:ncRNA from 1 species
AGAUAGAGGCGCGAGGUUCAUCAGUAAGCUCCUGCACGGAAGCAGCUUUCGCAGAAGCCGAAAGGGAACAUCGCCGAAGUGAAGAGAUGCAGCUGCGCUCUCUUUGCUGGGCCGUCAGGAAAGACUUGACGGACUGUCACGCAAGUGGAGCGCUAUCGA